GGGAAUGUGGCUUAGUGGUAGAGUACAUGCCUAGCAUGCAUGAAGCCCUGGGUUUGAUUCCUCCGUACCAA
rnacentral:tRNA from 1 species